AUUGAACGCUGGCGGCAUGCCUUACACAUGCAAGUCGAACGGCAGCACGGGGCAACCUGGUGGCGAGUGGCGAACGGGUGAGUAAUGCAUCGGAACGUACCUUUCAGUGGGGGAUAACGUAGCGAAAGUUACGCUCAUACCGCAUAUUCUGUGAGCAGGAAAGCAGGGGAUCGAAAGACCUUGCGCUGAUUGAGCGGCCGAUGUCAGAUUAGCUAGUUGGUGAGGUAAAGGCGCACCAAGGCGACGAUCUGUAGCGGGUCUGAGAGGAUGAUCCGCCACACUGGAACUGAGACACGGUCCAGACUCCUACGGGAGGCAGCAGUGGGGAAUUUUGGACAAUGGGGGCAACCCUGAUCCAGCCAUGCCGCGUGAGUGAAGAAGGCCUUCGGGUUGUAAAGCUCUUUCGGCCGGGAAGAAAUCGCACGGGCUAAUACCCUGUGUGGAUGACGGUACCGGAAUAAGAAGCACCGGCUAACUACGUGCCAGCCGCCGCGGUAAUAC
rnacentral:rRNA from 1 species